CGGGGUGUGGCGCAGCUUGGUAGCGCGCGUCGUUCGGGACGACGAGGUCGCAGGUUCAAAUCCUGUCAUCCCGACCA
rnacentral:tRNA from 1 species